rnacentral:rRNA from 1 species
CCUGCCAACCUAUAGGAGGUCCAGCCUGCCCGGUGACCUAGUUUAACGGCCGCGGUAUCCUAACCGUGCGAAGGUAGCGUAAUCACCUGUUUUUUAAUUGAAGACCUGUAUGAAAGGCAUCACGAGAAUCGUACUGUCUCCUUUUUCCAAUCAGUGAAACUAAUCUCCCCGUGAAAAAGCGGGGAUAUAAAUACAAGACGAGAAGACCCUCUGGAGCUUAAGAUAAAGUAACGUUUUGUACUCUCUUAUCCCACCUAUUUCUUUAGACACUUACAUUACAAAUCUUCGGUUGGGGCAACCGCGGAGUAAAACUCACCCUCCAAGCUGAAUGGAAUUUUCCUAAACAAAAAGACACAGCUUAAUGUAUCAAUAAAUUGACAUCAUGACCCAAUAUUUUGAUUAUCGAACCAAGUUACCCUAGGGAUAACAGCGCAAUCCACUUCAAGAGUUCAUAUCGACAAGUGGGCUUACGACCUCGAUGUUGGAUCAAGGUAUCCCAGUGGUGCAGCCGCUACUAAUGGUUCGUUUGUUCAACG